rnacentral:rRNA from 1 species
GCUUUUGUACACACCGCCCGUCGCUACUAACGAUUGAAUGAUUUAGUGAGGUCUUCGGACUGGUACGCGGCAUCGACUCUGUCGUUGCCGAUGCUACCGGAAAGAUGACCAAACUUGAUCAUUUAGAGGAAGUAAAAGUCGUAACAAGGUUUCCGUAGGUGAACCUGCGGAAGGAUCAUUA